GGGUUGUUAGCUCAGUGGGAGAGCAACUGCCUUACAAGCAGUAGGUCAGGGGUUCGAAUCCCUUACAACCCA
rnacentral:tRNA from 1 species